UACAGAGGGAGCAAGCGUUAUUCGGAAUUAUUGGGCGUAAAGGGCGCGUAGGCGGCUCAGCAAGUCUUGGGUGAAAUCCCUCGGCUCAACCGAGGAACUGCCCUGGAAACUGCUGGACUUGAGGCCGGGAGAGGGUGGUGGAAUUCCCAGUGUAGCGGUGAAAUGCGUAGAUAUUGGGAGGAACACCAGUGGCGAAGGCGGCCACCUGGACCGGUUCUGACGCUGAGGCGCGAAAGCGUGGGGAGCAAACAGG
rnacentral:rRNA from 1 species